rnacentral:rRNA from 1 species
UGUGAUGCGAAUCUCAUAAACCGGAGCUCAGUUCAGAUCGAAGGCUGCAACUCGCCUUCGUGAAGGAGGAAUCGCUAGUAAUUGCAGGUCAGCAUACUGCAGUGAAUUCGUUCCCGGGCCUUGUACACACCGCCCGUCACACCAUGGAAGUUGGUCACGCCCGAAGUCGUUACCCCAACCUAUUGGAGGGGGAUGCCUAAGGUAGGACUGAUGACUGGGGUGAAGUCGUAACAAGGUAGCCGUACCGGAAGGUGUGGCUGGAUCACCUCCUUUUAGGGAGA